rnacentral:miRNA from 10 species
UGAGGCAGGAGAAUUGCUUGAACCCAGGAAGUGGAGGCUGCAGUGAGCCGAGAUUGUGCCACUGCACUCUAGCCUGGGUGACAGAGUGAGACU